AAGUUAUAGACUUUGGUAGUUGCUAAUUAUCAAGUUUUAAAUCAAUAUCCGAUGUUUAUUUCUUAUUUCAAAGAUUGAAGUGUUCUGUCGAGUAUAGGAGGUGACCACCAGGCGAGAAGAAGAAACCACAAAUAUCUUUGCUUUGUUAAUUGGAUUAAGAGUUGGAUACUCUUCUAUAGUGAGGGGCCAAAUUCUUUCUCAGCAUGGAAGAGUGCAAAGGAUCGGAACUUGCCGUCAGUAGGGAUGAAGAUAUUAUGAAUAAUUUGGCUUCAUUAGUUGGAUUAGGAGUUCCCUCAGUUUUUUCCCACCUUAAGAUAUAGGUAAUUACAAAACACAAGACAAACAGAAGUGCUCUAUCCCUAAUCCUCCCCCCUCCUCUGUCCAAGAUAAAAUACGUUACUUCUAAUUGAUGCUUAUUAUCCAGCCAUAAGAAACAAUUCCCACUUUACAAGGGAGUUUUGAGGGCGAGCACUUGGACAUAUGAGCGUGGAUUCUGAACAUCCAAGGAAAUCACUGACAAGGCUCAUUAAGCCAGUAGCACAACCCGUUUUUGAAGUUAUUAGCAUGGAGAAUGGUGUUGUAUGCUAGAGUAUUAUAGUGGCGAUGAUCUGAAAGAUGGCCUCCAAUUUCAUUCUUCAUAGCCUUACUGUCCUCUGUUUUCUCCCUGUCAUUAUGCUUAUAUUGAAGCCUGAUUGCCCACACUAUUCGUGGAGUUGAUGCACAGUCUGGUAUAAAUUUUGGGUGCUAAUACUUCAUACCUUAUCUAGUAUAGCUGGGAAGAAUGGAUUGGGAUGGGAGGAAGAAGAGAAGAUGAAGAGGAAGAAAAAGAUAAUACCAAUGCUUUUGUUACUAAUACUCCAAUAAUAAUAAUGCCAUGUCUUCAUUCCUUGCUAAUUCGGUGGUGCAAGAAUCUAAAGUCUCUGCCAGACUACCUGCGUAAUACUCCAUUGAAGUAAUUAACGAUCGAGAACUAUCUAAUUCUCAAGCAGCGUUGCGAAAGAGGGAUUGGAGAUUAGUGGCCUAACAUUUCUCACAUCCCAAACAUCCUAAUUCAUUUCUGUUAUGUGCAAAGAGACGGUCCACUUCCACUUCCAGACAUUGAUUUAGAGGCAUGCAUGUGGAUUGAUGACAAUCAAGAUAAUGAAUUUGGGAUGGCGGAUGAAGAACUAGACAAUGAUUAGAAGGUUUUUCGUGGAGCUGAACAGAACAAGGCGAUUGACAAAAACAGAAGAAGACAGAGACUUUAAAGACGAAGGGUGAGGUGAAAUUCCUAUUGAUUACUUGCAUGAUCAUCAUUUUCAAUCUGUGUUUAUUGCUACUUUGUGCCUAUUAUUUUUGGUUACCUUUAAUAUUUCUAUCUUGGAUCAAUUUUUUGAAUCCAAUUGUGUUUAGAUUAAUGAUUAUAGUUGUUAAAACUAUAUUAACAUUUUAUUGAUUGGUAUUAUUGAA